rnacentral:rRNA from 1 species
AACGAACGCUGGCGGCAUGCCUAACACAUGCAAGUCGAACGAGACCUUCGGGUCUAGUGGCGCACGGGUGCGUAACGCGUGGGAACCUGCCCUUAGGUUCGGAAUAACUCCCCGAAAGGGGUGCUAAUACCGGAUAAUGUCUUCGGACCAAAGAUUUAUCGCCUUUGGAUGGGCCCGCGUUGGAUUAGCUAGUUGGUAGGGUAAAAGCCUACCAAGGCGACGAUCCAUAGCUGGUCUGAGAGGAUGAUCAGCCACACUGGGACUGAGACACGGCCCAGACUCCUACGGGAGGCAGCAGUGGGGAAUAUUGGACAAUGGGCGAAAGCCUGAUCCAGCAAUGCCGCGUGAAUGAUGAAGGCCUUAGGGUUGUAAAGCUCUUUUACCCGGGAUGAUAAUGACAGUACCGGGAGAAUAAGCUCCGGCCAACUCCGUG